UAUCAAUUUACCCGUACAAAAUAGGUGUAGUUUAUGCUUUUAAAUAUAAAUUUAUGCCAGCGCAAACAAACAGUAAUUAACGUGAUAAAACGAAAAAAAAUUAAAAACUUUUUAAAAAUAAAAAAAGCUGAAAGAUGAUGUCAGUCUCCGUUGCGAACAAUUUUCAGAAGAAUCAAUCUUUAAAAGAUCGUGAUUAUACAUCAAAAAGUGAUAAAGAUUUAGAUUAUGGAAUUCAGCUGGUUAAAGACAACGAUUUAAAAAAAUUUGAAGAACUUAUAAAAAAGAAACCUAAAUUACUCUCAGAAGUUGAUGAAUAUGGUCUUAGCAUUUUGAGUACAAUUAUUUCAACUGGAAACUUGAGUGCAAAAGAAAUAGUAAAGAAUAAUACACCCUUAUCUAAACAAACUUUUUAUGAAGAUUUCGAGUAUGCAUUAUAUUUUGCUGCUUCCGAGGAUAGAAUGUCAUUUUCAAAUAUCCGUGAACUACUUGGAUAUGUAUUUACAGAUGGUGAAGGUUGGGGAGUAUUAUAACUAUAAUACUACUUGUGUAGCUGCGUUCUUUAUCUUUAUUUUUUAACGAUUUCUUUGCAUGUAAUUUUUCUUAUUGAUAUAUUUGUAAAUAUUGUAUUAAAUAUUGUAAUAAAUAAAUAAAAAAAAAUUCAUUCCUAUUAUUUAA